ensembl:lncRNA
CCAGGCACGUGGGCUUGGACUGUGCACUGAGGUCUCUGCAGGAAAAGUCUGGAGCCUUGUCCAGGCGUGCCUACCUUGAUGAGAUAGGAAAUGAAAGUGCCCACUACACCUAAGCCCUGAAGACCACGAUCCAUGCUGCUGGACUGACCCCUGCCCUCUCGGUGUGAACUCCCCUGCUAGAAAGGAUGACUGAUGGGCUUCCAAGGUGUAAUUAAGAAGAUGGGAGUUCACCUGGAACUUUAUUUCCUCUGGGCUGACAAAGGGGAUGCCGAGGAGGCUUUGCAGCUGAUGGAGCUAUUUCAGGCCUCUGCAUUCUGACCUCCACUGCCAGCCCGAGCCCCUCACCUCCUCUUGAAGUGUGUUUAUUGUGCAGCCAAGAAAACAGGAGCAUGGGGAGAGGAGCCACAACACAGCCAGUGCUGAGAGGACUGACAUUACAGGGUAGCUCUGGCUUGUUUAGGAACCAAUUCAAAGGUUAAUUUAUGGAGGACUCCUUGACACACUCGCUUGCACGCAUAAGUUGCAUCAUGUUUAAAACAACAAUAACAACUGUGCUACAACAGCUUCUUAAAAUCCUCCAAUUCAGCCCUCCUCCCCCAUUGCAUAGAGAAGAGAAAUGAAUGAACCCCAAAGGUGCAGGCUUUCUAAACUCUGUGGAGUGAUUUUCCUACUGCUCUACUGAUGAAUCACCAUCUCUCUC